GGGGAAUAUUGGACAAUGGGCGCAAGCCUGAUCCAGCCAUGCCGCGUGAGUGAUGAAGGCCCUAGGGUUGUAAAGCUCUUUCACCGGUGAAGAUAAUGACGGUAACCGGAGAAGAAGCCCCGGCUAACUUCGUGCCAGCAGCCGCGGUAAUACGAAGGGGGCUAGCGUUGUUCGGAAUUACUGGGCGUAAAGCGCACGUAGGCGGGUAUUUAAGUCAGGGGUGAAAUCCCAGAGCUCAACUCUGGAACUGCCUUUGAUACUGGGUACCUAGAGUAUGGAAGAGGUAAGUGGAAUUCCGAGUGUAGAGGUGAAAUUCGUAGAUAUUCGGAGGAACACCAGUGGCGAAGGCGGCUUACUGGUCCAUUACUGACGCUGAGGUGCGAAAGCGUGGGGAGCAAAC
rnacentral:rRNA from 1 species